UACGUAGGGUGCGAGCGUUAAUCGGAAUUACUGGGCGUAAAGCGUGCGCAGGUGGUCAUGCAAGACAGAUGUGAAAUCCCCGGGCUUAACCUGGGAACUGCGUUUCUAACUGGCAGGCUUGAGUGUGGCAGAGGGGGGUGGAAUUCCACGUGUAGCAGUGAAAUGCGUAGAGAUGUGGAGGAACACCGAUGGCGAAGGCAGCCCCCUGGGCUAACACUGACGCUCAUGCACGAAAGCGUGGGGAGCAAACAGG
rnacentral:rRNA from 1 species